UUGGAGCUUUGGGAUUGUGAGAAUCUGAUGAAUCUUCCCACCCUGGAAGCAAUGCAAUGCCUCACCAAUUUACGAUCUUUGAGAAUUAGUGGUUGUCCCCAUCUAUAGGACAGAUGUGCAAGGGAAAGCGGUCAAGAAUGGCACAAGAUUGCCCAUAUUCCAUCCAUCCACAUGUUCUAGAUUGAGAUUAUCCCUGUGCACGAGAUCGGUAACUUAUUUCUGCAAGUGCCCAUGUUCAUGAUUUCUUCUCUUUCCGCCACAACCCUUUUUGUUUGUUUCAUCUCCAUGAAGUUUCUUAUUUACAUUGUCUUUUUUUCUUUCUUUCUUUCUUUCUAAUUGAACUUCAGCCUUCAGGUAUAAUCUUCUAAAUGAAUAUACUUGAAUUGAAAUGGACUCAAUAAUAUAUACUUCGAUUCACACAGCACUCAGUAUACAAACUAAAACACACAAUUGCCUAGGUUGAAUUGAUGACAGCAUCCUAAGUAUCAAAUUAAAUCACUAUAGUACCUCUUUUCUUUAAUGUCUAAGACUAUAUUUCAAAUUACAUGUGCUCCUUUUUUAGAAAAUAUAUAUACAUAUAUAUUUGUUGACUUCUUGGUGUGCCUUUGGACCAUUUUCUAAGCUUUCUCUCUGUUUCCAGAUGCUUUGAGGCUCUGACGGUAUGCUAAAUCCACGAGGAAAUCUAGGCAAGGCUUUGGUUCUCAAAGGUCAUGCUGAAAAUUGUCCACAAUUAAUAAGCUUCUGAUGUAAAUUUGUUGAUUGAAAUCAUAUUUUGUAUAAGUGUAGCUUUUGGUCAAGGACUCCAAUGCCUAAUCAUGCACUAACGAGUCAAGCAAAAUAAAUUAAAGAAUCAGUCCAAGAAUCUGGACAAAGACAUUAUACUUUUAGUAAGUCAUUUUAUCCUUUAGAUCAACCAAUCAAUAAUUUUUAAUUACCCCUUUUUACUCUUUGUUCAUUCUUUGUAGUUGGAAGUAGAUAGAAAUUAAUAAAGGUGGUUGAUGCCUCUAUAUCACAUGUCAAAAAUUGGAAUCUCUGCAGUCAAAUCACAGUCUCAUUACGGUGAUUGUUCUCUCUCUCUCUCUCUCUCCCCUCAAAGUCCAUCAGUUUUAGUUCUGCUUUAUAUAUAUAUAUACAACAUUUUUAUAUGGUCUCAAGUAUACUAUUUGUGGUAUCUUAACCACAAGCAUGCAAAUUAAUGGUGAUUGUUUCCUCUCUCUUUUACAUAUAUUUUCUUAUUCUAUUUCAAGGUCUAAUUAUAUCUUUCUGCUCGCACAAAUUAAUGGUGAUUGUUUCCUCUCUCUUUCUCUCUAAGGUCUAUCAGUAUUUUAUAUAUUAUACAUUUUUAUUUGGUCUGAAGCAUGAAGGAAAAUUAGCACUCAAUGAACUUCCAAGUACACAAUUUAUGGAAUCUUGUACUCUAACCAUGAGCAUGCAAUUGUUUCUUUUCUUUUACUGACACAAUUUUAUCAUAUUUUUCUUGUGCUUUGAAACUUUUGCAUAAAUGUUUCAUUUUUUCAUUUCCAGGUUUUAGCUUAUAACCUAAUGCAGGCUGAUAACCUAAUGUUCAUAACCGGCAUCUCAUCCAACUUACAAGAAAUCAGGAGAAAAGAAAAAUUAAAAGAAAAGAAAAUUCCAUUACAAUAUAGAGGAGAGGUUUAAUCUUUGUUCGAAGGUCCAGCAAUAGGUUGAUUUUUAAAAUUUCCAUUCUACAAAUCCUAAUCAGUUGGACUAACUAUUUAGAAGGAUAAAAUAUGCAAGACAAACUCCAAGAAGGCAGACAUGGUAUUGCAGAUUGCAUUUUCUUUUCAUUUGAUCUGCUAAAGGAGCUUGCAAGAAAACCCAUCCUAUGUGGGGAAUCCAUGCACAACCUUGCUGACUAUACGUAAUCUUUGAAUUUGGACAAGACAGCUUUAGAUAUCUACUUGUUGCUGUGAUUUGAGACAUCAAAUUCUAUUAUUCAUUGUAGUGCAUCAUCAACAGGAGGCUGGAGCAAAUCCAUCAUUCAAAUUUCAAAGAUUUGAAUUUUGAGGUUUCUCUUUCGGCUAUGGCUGGCUUUUAUGUAUUGUACAUUUGUAAAUAUUUAUAUUAGAGUGUCAUCUGGUGGAGGGCUCUUGAAUGUAAUUGUGCAUUUGCUUUCUAUUGUCAAAUUAUGUAUAAUUCUUUUGGUGGUGGUAUUUUGAAAUU